AGAGGAUUGAAGGGAUUAAAU
rnacentral:miRNA from 1 species